rnacentral:snoRNA from 1 species
AUUUGAUGAUGUGGACAUUGUAUUGUAACUCCACAAAUCUUUCCCAAGCUUCAAAAAAUUCUUCCGUAUGUUUUUGUCUAAAAGUUUGAAUUUUGUUUCUUAACUC